rnacentral:rRNA from 1 species
UACGAAGAGGGCUAGCGUUGCUCGGAAUCACUGGGCGUAAAGCGCACGUAGGUGGAUCGCUAAGUCAGGGGUGAAAUCCUGGAGCUCAACUCCAGAACUGCCUUUGAUACUGGGCAAUCUCGAGUCCGGAGAGGUGAGUGGAACUGCGAAGUGUAGAGGUGAAAUUCGAUAGAUAUUCGGCAAGAACACCAGUCGGCGAAGGCGGCUCACUGGCCCGGUA